AAAACUUCUCGGCCUUUUGGCGAAGAUCAAGAGUAGUAUCUGUUCUUAUGGGUUUAAUAUCUGAUACAUCCGUGAUGAGAGGACUUUAUAUUAAAUGGAUUUUUGAGGAUGGGAGUUGGACCCGGAGCUUGCUCCCAGUAUUAUUUUUUCAAGACCAGGUUGGAUGGGGCUCUGAGCGACCUGAUCUAGUUAGUGGUG
rfam:Egretta garzetta contig23406, whole genome shotgun sequence.